UGCAAAGUUGAUGUAGCAGAGCUGGUCAGUGGAGAGUAGAAGUGAAUAAGUCAAAGAUGAAGAAACGAAAGCCUGCAGAGGUGAAGUGAUUUGUUCGGAGUGACUCACACCCUGAUGAAGCUGAAGAGUUGGGAGCCAGUUCCAUUGUCUUCGGGGAGUGUGGAGGCACCCCUUUGUUCUCUAUUAUUUAGAUCUUAGCACAUUAGGUUACAGUAAUACUUACGUCAGCAAAAGAUCCUUUCUCACCACUUUUUAGCACUGUUCCAUUCAAUAGUGACAUCUUGCUCCAAGUGGUUAAAAGACACUGGAGUUUUAAGGGAAAAAUAACUUAUUUCCAGUCUGUCUAUAUUGCUUAAUACAUGAAAGGUCUUUGCUUUGUCCAAUUACAUUAACGUUUCUCAGGCUCAGUUUAUUUCUGAAAAUUGUGUGCCGUGAAUGAUAUUCACAUUAUCACCAUGAAAAAGGAAAAUGAUCUGUGUGAAUGUAAUCAGCCAAUUAGUGGACUGGAUUUAUGGAAUUAUGAUCUUUGAACAUAGAUACCUAAUUCUACUUCAUACAAGGGAAGACAAAGGCACAGACAUGAUGCCCACUCAUAGAAUACUUACUGCACAGUAGGGACUCAAUUCAUAUUUGAAUGAAUGAAUGGCACUCCCAGUGGCAAACUGGCAGGAUAGCCCUGACCUCACCUGUCUACCCUGCAUCCUGUCUGGCUUGGGGGAGAUGCAGGCAGAGUUUGAGGAAUCGUCAACAUCUGUCAAAAUAAUGGCUAAUAUUCCUUGAGCACUCACUAUGUGCCAGGUACUGCAAUAAGGGCUUUACAACUUGCAUUUUCUCAUUUUAUUUUUGCAGUAGCUCCUCCUGGUGGGGUCUCUUCUUACGCCUAUUUUGCAGAUGAGGAAGCAGAGGCUGGGAGAAUUGGAGGAUUUUGCCCAAGAUCAUGGAGUCAGCCAGAAACACUGAGGGCAUCUUAUUUACACUUAACUCCAUCUUGUGAAAAAAAUGGAGCAGCAAAACUAAUAGCCCAGAUUUGGACCCCAGGAUGACAAGCUCCAAGAUGAUGGAUAAUUUUCCUUCUUGACCAUAGCGUUAAACCUAGCCAUUGUGAUAA